GGGGACGUAACUCAAGGUCAGUGCAUCUGCCUGACAUACAGAAGGGCCUGGGUUCAAGCCCCAGCCCUGCCU
rnacentral:tRNA from 1 species